GACGAACGCUGGCGGCGUGCUUAACACAUGCAAGUCGAGCGGAAAGGCCCUGCUUUUGUGGGGUGCUCGAGUGGCGAACGGGUGAGUAACACGUGAGUAACCUGCCCUUGACUUUGGGAUAACUUCAGGAGACUGGGGCUAAUACCGGAUAGGAGCUCCUGCUGCAUGGUGGGGGUUGGAAAGUUUCGGCGGUUGGGGAUGGACUCGCGGCUUAUCAGCUUGUUGGUGGGGUAGUGGCUUACCAAGGCUUUGACGGGUAGCCGGCCUGAGAGGGUGACCGGCCACAUUGGGACUGAGAUACGGCCCAGACUCCUACGGGAGGCAGCAGUGGGGAAUAUUGCACAAUGGGCGGAAGCCUGAUGCAGCAACGCCGCGUGCGGGAUGACGGCCUUCGGGUUGUAAACCGCUUUCGCCUGUGACGAAGCGUGAGUGACGGUAAUGGGUAAAGAAGCACCGGCUAACUACGUG
rnacentral:rRNA from 1 species